rnacentral:rRNA from 1 species
GGAUGAAUAUUGGUCAAUGGGCGAGAGCCUGAACCAGCCAAGUAGCGUGCAGGAAGACGGCCCUAUGGGUUGUAAACUGCUUUUAUACGGGGAUAAAGUUAGGGACGUGUCCCUUUUGCAGGUACCGUAUGAAUAAGGACCGGCUAAUUCCGUGCCAGCAGCCGCGGUAAUACGGAAGGUCCUGGCGUUAUCCGGAUUUAUUGGGUUUAAAGGGAGCGUAGGCCGGAGAUUAAGCGUGUUGUGAAAUGUAGGAGCUCAACUUCUGCACUGCAGCGCGAACUGGUUUCCUUGAGUACGUAGGAAGUUGGCGGAAUUCGUGGUGUAGCGGUGAAAUGCUUAGGAUAUCACGAAGAACUCCGAUUGCGAAGGCAGCUGACUGUAUCGUAACUGACGCUGAGGCACGAAAGCAUGGGUAGCAAACAGGAUUAGAUACC